rnacentral:rRNA from 1 species
CCUACGGGAGGCAUCAGUGAGGAAUAUUGGUCAAUGGACGAGAGUCUGAACCAGCCAAGUAGCGUGAAGGAUGACUGCCCUAUGGGUUGUAAACUUCUUUUAUAUGGGAAUAAAACAGGGUAUGCGUACAAUCUUGUAUGUACAAUAUGAUUAAGGAUCGGCUAACUAUGUGCCAGCAGCCGCGGUAAUACGGAGGAUCCGAGCGUUAUCCGGAUUUAUUGGGUUUAAAGGGAGCGUAGGUGGAUUGUUAAGUCAGUUGUGAAAGUUUGCGGCUCAACCGUAAAAUUGCAGUUGAAACUGGCAGUCUUGAGUACAGUAGAGGUGAGCGGAAUUCGUGGUGUAGCGGUGAAAUGCUUAGAUAUCACGAAGAACUCCGAUUGCGAAGGCAGCUCACUGGACUGCAACUGACACUGAUGCUCGAAAGUGUGGGGAGCAAACAGGAUUAGAUACCCGGGUAGUC